GCUAACAACUUAUAUCAUGUAUCCAUGUUAAAUAGGGAAACAAUGAUCAUGGGACUGGGAAUAUAUUACAGGGACAUGUAAGGAAAUCACAAGGCUGCAGACAUGAAUGGAAAGAGAAAUCACGUUAAUAAGGCAAAUAACACGCGAUGAACCUGGCAUAACUAGAAGCAAGAGCUGUAAAUAAUGCAUUGACUCCUUCCUUCAUCCCUUUUGAACCAGAUCAAAUCAAUUUAGUCGUCCUGAACUGUGUCUGUGCUGUCUCUUCUCCUAG
rnacentral:misc_RNA from 1 species